rnacentral:rRNA from 1 species
AGCGAACGCUGGCGGCAGGCCUAACACAUGCAAGUCGAACGAAGUCUUCGGACUUAGUGGCGGACGGGUGAGUAACACGUGGGAACGUACCUUUUGGUUCGGAACAACUCAGGGAAACUUGAGCUAAUACCGGAUAAGCCCUUUGGGGGAAAGAUUUAUCGCCAUUAGAGCGGCCCGCGUUGGAUUAGCUAGUUGGUGAGGUAAAGGCUCACCAAGGCUACGAUCUAUAGCUGGUCUGAGAGGAUGAUCAGCCACACUGGGACUGAGACACGGCCCAGACUACUACGGGAGGCAGCAGUGGGGAAUCUUGCGCAAUGGGCGAAAGCCUGACGCAGCAAUGCCGCGUGAAUGAUGAAGGUCUUAGGAUUGUAAAAUUCUUUUACCAGGGACGAUAAUGACGGUACCUGGAGAAAAAGCCCCGGCUAACUUCGUGCCAGCCGCCGCGGUAACAC